rnacentral:rRNA from 1 species
GACGAACGCUGGCGGCGUGCCUAAUACAUGCAAGUUGAGCGAUGAAGAUUGGUGCUUGCACCAAUUUGAAGAGCAGCGAACGGGUGAGUAACGCGUGGGGAAUCUGCCUUUGAGCGGGGGACAACAUUUGGAAACGAAUGCUAAUACCGCAUAAUAACUUUAAACGUAAGUUUUAAGUUUGAAAGAUGCAAUUGCAUCACUCAAAGAUGAUCCCGCGUUGUAUUAGCUAGUUGGUGAGGUAAAGGCUCACCAAGGCGAUGAUACAUAGCCGACCUGAGAGGGUGAUCGGCCACAUUGGGACUGAGACACGGCCCAAACUCCUACGGGAGGCAGCAGUAGGGAAUCUUCGGCAAUGGACGAAAGUCUGACCGAGCAACGCCGCGUGAGUGAAGAAGGUUUUCGGAUCGUAAAACUCUGUUGGUAGAGAAGAACGUUGGUGAGAGUGGAAAGCUCAUCAAGUGACGGUAACUACCCAGAAAGGGACGGCUAACUACGUG